rnacentral:rRNA from 1 species
ACGGGUGAGGAAUACAUCGGAAUCUACUCUGUCGUGGGGGAUAAUGUAGGGAAACUUACGCUAAUACCGCAUACGACCUACGGGUGAAAGCAGGGGAUCUUCGGACCUUGCGCGAUUGAAUGAGCCGAUGUCGGAUUAGCUAGUUGGCGGGGUAAAGGCCCACCAAGGCGACGAUCCGUAGCUGGUCUGAGAGGAUGAUCAGCCACACUGGAACUGAGACACGGUCCAGACUCCUACGGGAGGCAGCAGUGGGGAAUAUUGGACAAUGGGCGCAAGCCUGAUCCAGCCAUACCGCGUGGGUGAAGAAGGCCUUCGGGUUGUAAAGCCCUUUUGUUGGGAAAGAAAUCCAGCUGGCUAAUACCCGGUUGGGAUGACGGUACCCAAAGAAUAAGCACCGGCUAACUUCGUGCCAGCAGCCGCGGUAAUACGAAGGGUGCAAGCGUUACUCGGAAUUACUGGGCGUAAAGCGUGCGUAGGUGGUCGUUUAAGUCCGUUGUGAAAGCCCUGGGCUCAACCUGGGAACUGCAGUGGAUACUGGGCGACUAGAGUGUGGUAGAGGGUAGCGGAAUUCCUGGUGUA